AGAUUUACAGAAAUUUGAAGCAAGGGAAUGCGUACCUGCUAGAGAUUUGGCCAUGUAUGCAGUCUAGCAAGCACAAACUGGAACUGCCUCAAGGCGAUCUAAGCACUGUUGGAAUAUGAUAUGGGUUUAAAGAUAGAGAUAAGGAGUAGAUAUUAAAUAGGUUUAAACUAUCUAUGUCUUGUCUUGUGCUCCAAGCCUCUACCCCUCAUGUGUCUUCCAUAUAUACCCCAUACAAGGGUCAGAUCAAUACAACGAUACAUAAAACAAUAUUCAUCCAUCCUAUACAAUUUCCAUAAGCACAUCAAACACGAUCCUUGUGCAAAUAUUCUACCAAGGAAAAUGGUAACUCUGAAAGAGAAAAGUUAUCAUGGAACAGGAGCAGAGCAUGGAAAAGAGAUCAGCACACCUACUAGUACUGAAGCCGUUGGUUGGUACUUGGCUUAUGCAAUAAAACAAACCUCUUAUGAAUUUCUUUCAGCUCCAAGUCUACACCUACCGCUACUGGUUAGCGCGUUCAUUAGGUAUUAGAUUAUUUCAACAAUAAUUGAUAUUUGGUCCCAUGACAUAUAUAUUUAAAUCUGACAGCAUCACCAAUUAUGUAACUCCGACAGCAUCAGCAUCAGCAACCAAGGUGCUGACCACGCCAAUUAUGUAACCGACUUAUUCAACCGUGAGGGAUGGCUUUGUAUUCAAAUCAAGGCUUCCGGUUUCUACUUGUCCAGUUCAACAUCACAACCUUUUAUUAACUCCUCCCCCUGUCCUCUCUACAUAUCAUAGCAAAAUGAGUAAAUGUACACUCUAGAAUAACAUAUGUAUGUCAUCCAUAGUGAAAUCUCUACAAAGACUUAUAUUUAGGAAUGAAAGAAGUAUAUACUACUCCCCUGCCGGUGUGGAUAAUAUUUCAAAUAUACCUUCAAUUUUCUUGCCAACGCAUCCAUGCUAUCCUAUCAUUUCAAGGUACCUUCCGCUGGCGAACCAACCUGUGAUAGGAUGGUUAGAGGGACUGUGGUAUCCCCAGCUCACCAGGGUUCAAAUCCGGGUGCUCGCGUUUAUUCCUGGAUUUAUUUCGGAGAUGCUCAUAGGGUAGGGUGUGGGUGUGUGUGUUCAUAGGGUGAGUGUAUGCGCGUGUAUAUUAGCGCUUGUGUCCGUACUGAUGUUAAAAAAAGGUACCUUCCGCCGUUCUUUUCUUUAUAUACCCCUCCAAAUUUUCAAUCAAAAUGAUUAACUCCAACUGCGGCAAAGGUGGCAAAGAAGAGUGAGAGACUGUAGGAAAAGGUGAUUUGGUUUUUUUGGAUUUACAGAUGCCGCCAGCGAAGGCUCCCAGCCACACGUUUCUUCGCCAUUAUUUUGGCAAUGAUAGAGGAUCUCUAAAGUCUAAACUCAAAAGGCAUGAUCCACUGUAGUAGUUCUUUUUUUUCAAAAGAAGGAUAACCCCCGUCCUUUGCAUCGAGCGAUGCACACAACCAUAUAUUAUUAAAACUGUAAAAUUCAGAUAUACUGUAGUAGUUAAUCAAUACAUUAAUAAUGCAUCGAUCGGCGAAGCCGCCGGCAAUCACGUUCUCUGAACUGAUUGAUGUGCGUGAUGCCACUUGGGCCUUCAGUUUUAUCUAUACUUUGUCACUAACAGCCAAGCCAUUAAACAGUUUCAUAGUGCUACUUGUCUUUUUUUUUUUGGAGAUAUAGUGCUACUUGUCUAUUAACUACGCUAGCUUAUGCAUCCCAAGUUGCCGACCUCAAGCUUCAAUAUUUCCCAAAAAAAUGACCUCAAGCUUCGAUUAUAGUAAAGUCAAUGUCAAGUACCAACCAAGCUUAUCGCAUCCCUUCAGAUUUUUGGCAUGUAAUUCUCCAUACAAUUCCCUAUGCAAUUGCCAGCUCCUUAAAAUUGCCUUCUCUACAAUUCACAUUGAUCAACCAUCUAAUGCAUUUUUUGUUCAUAUAAUCGACUUCUCCAUAAUAUUCUCCAUGCAAUUCUUGUUCUUGUAGCAACAAGAUAAACACCAGCCAUUUACACACUUCUAACAAAUUUCAACCAAUAGUACUCAUGUUCAAUCAACAAAUCAACAAAUUUCGUUCUCAGUUCAUACUUAAAAAGCAAUGAACGGUGUUCGCUUUACUUACCACGAGAGGAGGAGGCUACCGANNNNNNNNNNCAAGCCCUGCACCUAGCCACAGAACGAGCCGCCACGGUGCUUGGAAUCGCUGCGCCACCAAGCCAUCACCAGGAAAAACUAGGCCUCCACAAUGAAGGAGGGAGAGGCGCGCUAGGGGAGAGGCACCGCCGCCACCGGCACUGCCCGGGCUUUGCCUGGUAGUGGCCCUUGGCGGCGGCGAGGGGGGGGGGGAGGAUGGAGGAGGUGGUGUUCCACAAACAUAUUCCACUAAGGUUUACUCCUCUAUUUUUUAGGGGAUUCGUUAGAGUUGGCCUUACCUCGUCAGGGUUACCAUUCAUCCUCCCAGGUUCACUCAAAAUGUGGAUUAUUUCCGAUAUAGAAGGUCUAUGUCCUGGUUUUUCCUGCAUGCACUGUACUGCCAUGUCAAUGCAUCUAGUGACUUGAUGGUAUUGUACCGAUGUUGGUGGCUUAUUCCACCUGUGUCUCCAUCUUCGAAGUACCUACAUUUAAGAUAUGUUUAUUGAUUGUUAUAAUCCAAGAAUCUUGCCGUGCAAAUUAUGUCAAUGUCAUGGUAUUUGUAUCCAGCUGGCAAUUUUCUAGUUUAAGGCUACACGUUUGCCUCAUAGUGUGCAACUACAGAAGUGCAUCACUUCAACUCGCCACCAUAAAAAAACUAUCCACCCAUGUGCAAUAUAUCUACAAACAUGUUUAAAUUAGAUAUAUACUUCAGUAGGAUAGUGAACAUAUUCAAGUAAGAACAAAAGAUCCAUGCAGAACAUUGUCAUUGUUCUUAACAGUGAGCGAAAUUACACUUACAUUAUUUUUGUGAGGGACGCCCUUACACCCCUUUACUAAUUCUAUGAUUAUGGCACCCAAACUAUAUAUGUCAGCCUUGAAGGAAAUUUCCCCAUCUUUUUCGUAUUCUGGAGCGAUAUAUCCUCUGCAGGAAAAUGUGAUAGUAUGAUGCAUUAUGCCACAAAGUCAAUGUAUGUUUGUAUGAUAGAGAAAUGUCAUUUAACUAGUGGUUGUACCAACAUAUAGCUUACCGUGUUCCAAUAGGUUGUGCCAUAGUACGUGAGUUUUUAUUUGGUCUUGACAAACCAAAAUCCGUUAGUUUUGGAACCAUUUUAUCACCUAGUAAUAUGUUUGCUGGUUUAAGGUCCAUAUGAAUAAUGUUUUUUUCAUUGUGAAGAUAACACAGACCCUGGCAGAUUCCCAUGAUGAUUUCAUAACGUGUUUCCCAAUCAAGUCCCCUUAAUUCAUCUGUAGAAGAAUAUAUACAUACAACCAAAGGAGUUAUGUUAAAUUACAUACCGAGCAAUGGUAGAUUUUUUUUAUUGAAGGUAAGGGAGUGUACAGAAGAGAUGCAUCGAAAUGUGAUAAGAUCGUACCACUAAUAUGCUGAUCAAGGCUUCCUUUGCUGAUAUACUCGAAACAGAACAAUUUUGCUUUUACGCUGGCCAAAUUAAUUUCUUCUGAUUGAGCCUCUUUUGUCGGUAUCUGAUAUGAAUUAGAACAGAAGCCAAGAAACCUGACUACAUUUUGAUGAUCAAUCUUUGUUAGGAUAUUAAACUCACGACGAAAUGGCUGGUCAUCAAUUGGGUUUACGAUCCUCUUCACAGCAACAAAUAUCCCGUUUGGGAGCACACCCUGUUAGCCAGUGUUUAAAUUAUGCUCCGCCUUACAAUACAAAUGUUUUGCUUCUACAGAUGGUACUUUAUAAUCGAAACUAGUUAUCAUUAUGUAUUGUACAAAUAGUACAUUGUACCUUGUAAACCUCUCCAAAUCCACCCUGACCAAUCUUUCUCUCUUCGGAGAAACCAUUGGUGAUUUUAUGUAACAGUGCCAAUGACAGAUUCGUCGGGUUCUCCUUUCCUUCAAGUAUAAGCUCCAGCACACGUGUGUCCUCCAUUCUAGGUACACGCUGUUAUUCAGAACAGUGGCUUAACAAAUUAGCUUGCCUGACCGACAGAUUUACAGAAAUUUGAAGCAAGGGAAUGCGUACCUGCUAGAGAUUUGGCCAUGUAUGCAGUCUAGCAAGCACAAACUGGAACUGCCUCAAGGCGAUCUAAGCACUGUUGGAAUAUGAUAUGGGUUUAAAGAUAGAGAUAAGGAGUAGAUAUUAAAUAGGUUUAAACUAUCUAUGUCUUGUCUUGUGCUCCAAGCCUCUACCCCUCAUGUGUCUUCCAUAUAUACCCCAUACAAGGGUCAGAUCAAUACAACGAUACAUAAAACAAUAUUCAUCCAUCCUAUACAAUUUCCAUAAGCACAUCAAACACGAUCCUUGUGCAAAUAUUCUACCAAGGAAAAUGGUAACUCUGAAAGAGAAAAGUUAUCAUGGAACAGGAGCAGAGCAUGGAAAAGAGAUCAGCACACCUACUAGUACUGAAGCCGUUGGUUGGUACUUGGCUUAUGCAAUAAAACAAACCUCUUAUGAAUUUCUUUCAGCUCCAAGUCUACACCUACCGCUACUGGUUAGCGCGUUCAUUAGGUAUUAGAUUAUUUCAACAAUAAUUGAUAUUUGGUCCCAUGACAUAUAUAUUUAAAUCUGACAGCAUCACCAAUUAUGUAACUCCGACAGCAUCAGCAUCAGCAACCAAGGUGCUGACCACGCCAAUUAUGUAACCGACUUAUUCAACCGUGAGGGAUGGCUUUGUAUUCAAAUCAAGGCUUCCGGUUUCUACUUGUCCAGUUCAACAUCACAACCUUUUAUUAACUCCUCCCCCUGUCCUCUCUACAUAUCAUAGCAAAAUGAGUAAAUGUACACUCUAGAAUAACAUAUGUAUGUCAUCCAUAGUGAAAUCUCUACAAAGACUUAUAUUUAGGAAUGAAAGAAGUAUAUACUACUCCCCUGCCGGUGUGGAUAAUAUUUCAAAUAUACCUUCAAUUUUCUUGCCAACGCAUCCAUGCUAUCCUAUCAUUUCAAGGUACCUUCCGCUGGCGAACCAACCUGUGAUAGGAUGGUUAGAGGGACUGUGGUAUCCCCAGCUCACCAGGGUUCAAAUCCGGGUGCUCGCGUUUAUUCCUGGAUUUAUUUCGGAGAUGCUCAUAGGGUAGGGUGUGGGUGUGUGUGUUCAUAGGGUGAGUGUAUGCGCGUGUAUAUUAGCGCUUGUGUCCGUACUGAUGUUAAAAAAAGGUACCUUCCGCCGUUCUUUUCUUUAUAUACCCCUCCAAAUUUUCAAUCAAAAUGAUUAACUCCAACUGCGGCAAAGGUGGCAAAGAAGAGUGAGAGACUGUAGGAAAAGGUGAUUUGGUUUUUUUGGAUUUACAGAUGCCGCCAGCGAAGGCUCCCAGCCACACGUUUCUUCGCCAUUAUUUUGGCAAUGAUAGAGGAUCUCUAAAGUCUAAACUCAAAAGGCAUGAUCCACUGUAGUAGUUCUUUUUUUCAAAAGAAGGAUAACCCCCGUCCUUUGCAUCGAGCGAUGCACACAACCAUAUAUUAUUAAAACUGUAAAAUUCAGAUAUACUGUAGUAGUUAAUCAAUACAUUAAUAAUGCAUCGAUCGGCGAAGCCGCCGGCAAUCACGUUCUCUGAACUGAUUGAUGUGCGUGAUGCCACUUGGGCCUUCAGUUUUAUCUAUACUUUGUCACUAACAGCCAAGCCAUUAAACAGUUUCAUAGUGCUACUUGUCUUUUUUUUUUGGAGAUAUAGUGCUACUUGUCUAUUAACUACGCUAGCUUAUGCAUCCCAAGUUGCCGACCUCAAGCUUCAAUAUUUCCCAAAAAAAUGACCUCAAGCUUCGAUUAUAGUAAAGUCAAUGUCAAGUACCAACCAAGCUUAUCGCAUCCCUUCAGAUUUUUGGCAUGUAAUUCUCCAUACAAUUCCCUAUGCAAUUGCCAGCUCCUUAAAAUUGCCUUCUCUACAAUUCACAUUGAUCAACCAUCUAAUGCAUUUUUUGUUCAUAUAAUCGACUUCUCCAUAAUAUUCUCCAUGCAAUUCUUGUUCUUGUAGCAACAAGAUAAACACCAGCCAUUUACACACUUCUAACAAAUUUCAACCAAUAGUACUCAUGUUCAAUCAACAAAUCAACAAAUUUCGUUCUCAGUUCAUACUUAAAAAGCAAUGAACGGUGUUCGCUUUACUUACCACGAGAGGAGGAGGCUACCGAUCUCAGGCGGCAGAACAGAGCACGUAGGAGCCAGGUGUGUCUGGCUAGGGUAGAGGAGAUCGGAUGGACCCGAGUCGGAGGAGCUCUGAUGGAGCCAGGUCGGAGCAGCUCGAUCUGACGGCAGUGGAGGAGUUUGACUUGGACGGGUGAAGCUCGGACGGGCGGCGGCCGGAGCGGAUCUUGGACAGAGCGGCGGGGUGGGAGCUCGGGCGGGUGGUGGAAGACCCGAGAGAAAUCUCGGUUCCUCUUUCCAGAACUAGAGCAUGGAAAAAUUAGUUUGCUCAAGAUAGACAUGCUUGCAGAAAUUUGUAGCAAAGAAAUGCGUACCUGCUGGAGAUUUCGCACAAACUGGAACUGCUCCAAGAUAUAUAUACUAAUGUCUGUGGGAAGAUGAUUACUCUGAAAGAAGAGGCAAGAAAUGGAAGGGAUAUUAAUUCAAGCACAAGCACAAUCAAGACUGCUAGCCAAAUGGAACAGGAGCAGACAACAAACCAAAACGACUUAGGCCUACAAUGGAGAUCAACACACCUGUUAUGAAUGAGCAGAGAGGAAAAACAAAGAUUGGCACUUGCUUUGUUCAAUCAAAGAAAACUUGAGCGCCCCUCUUAUUUGUUUCACACAGUUGGAAGACUUAGACAGAGUCUUCGCCUACCGCUGUCGAUAGGCAUAUUAAUUUAUUUUUACAAUAAAUAAAGGUUCCAUCUGAUCCC
rnacentral:lncRNA from 1 species